rnacentral:lncRNA from 1 species
UAAAGAACUGUUCUCCUUUAUCUUCUAGGAAUGUCAAAAGUUCCCUCUUGGCUGCGCCUCAGUUGAUUUAACUUCUCUAGAGAGUUUGCUCUGGGUGCCUGAUGCUAUCUAAGUUCCCAACCCACUGACAUCUAAAAAGAUAAGCGAAUUCCUUAGCUUCGGUAUUUGAGCACAAGAGAAUUCUCUGGAGAACUAGCAAUGUAAUCAUGGCAUAUCUGCCAGAAUUGACAAGAGGGAUGAAAGGCUUACUUCAAUGUUUGCAUGGUUCCUGUGCUUCAACAUAUUGAGUAUGAAGCAAAUUUUAAAGAUGAGGCAGCCGAAGCAAGGAGGUGUAAAUGACUGGCUUAGGGUCACCGAACUGCUAUAUGAGGAGAAAGUGUUUUCCUUAGAGGACUCAAAUUCACAACAGUGCCUUAUGGAGACACAAUCAAAAUGAAGAAGAAAAGUGACACAAUUUGAGGGAUAAUUCAAAGUCCAGGGAUUACCGAGGUGAUCUACUUCUUAGAAAUGAUUAAGAAGACCUAAGUUUCAUUUCCUGGAAAGGUGAAUUUUUCCCAUUAAAGAUGUAAUUAUUCAAUCAAGAUAUUUUGACUUUUCCAUGUAGACUAAUUGUAGAAUAAACACAUUGUACUUACAUGCCA